rnacentral:rRNA from 1 species
AUCCUGGCUCAGAACGAACGCUGGCGGCGUGCUUAACACAUGCAAGUCGAACGCGAAAGGGACUUCGGUCCUGAGUAAAGUGGCGCACGGGUGAGUAACGCGUAGAUAACCUGUCUUCAUGUCUGGAAUAAUACGCCGAAAGGGGUACUAAUACCGGAUAUUCUUGCUUUUCAUAAGUUAUGCAAGCAAAGGUGGCCUCUGCAUAUGCUACUGCAUGAAGAGGGGUCUGCGUACCAUUAGCUAGUAGGUGGGGUAAUGGCCUACCUAGGCGACGAUGGUUAGCGGGUCUGAGAGGAUGAUCCGCCACACUGGCACCGGAACACGGGCCAGACUCCUACGGGAGGCAGCAGUGAGGAAUAUUGCGCAAUGGGGGAAACCCUGACGCAGCGACGCCGCGUGAAGUGAGGAAGGCCUUCGGGUCGUAAAGCUCUGUCAAGAGGAAAGAAGUGUACAAUGGCUAAUACCUGUUGUAUUUGACGGUACCUCUAAAGGAAGCACCGGCUAACUCCGUGCCAGCCGCCGC